rnacentral:rRNA from 1 species
GGGGAUAGCUCGAGGAAACUCGAAUUAAUACCAUAUGUGAUCCUGUGAAGCAUUUCGCAGGAAUGAAAGAUGCCUUCGGGUGUCACUUCUGGAUGGGCUCGCGGCCUAUCAGUUAGUUGGUGAGGUAACGGCUCACCAAGGCAAUGACGGGUAGCUGGUCUGAGAGGACGACCAGUCACACUGGAACUGAGACACGGUCCAGACACCUACGGGUGGCAGCAGUCGAGAAUCAUUCGCAAUGGGGGAAACCCUGACGGUGCGACGCCGCGUGGAGGAUGACGGUCUUCGGAUUGUAAACUCCUGUCAUCGAAGAGUAAGGCUUAUGUAUUAAUAGUAUGUAAGAUUGAUAGUAUUCGAAGAGGAAGGGACGGCUAACUUCGUGCCAGCAGCCGCGGUAAUACGAAGGUCCCAAGCGUUGUUCGGAAUCACUGGGCGUAAAGGGAGCGUAGGCGGUGAGGUAAGUCAGAUGUGAAAUUCCA